GGGGAGCGCUUUUGGAUCAAAUCCGGCAGGGAAUUCAGCUGAACAAGACCCCUGGGGCCCCAGAGAGCUCAGCGCUGCAGCCACCACCUCAGAGCUCAGAGGGACUGGUGGGGGCCCUGAUGCACGUGAUGCAGAAGAGAAGCAGAGCCAUCCACUCCUCCGGGUCUCGCUCUGUGUCCCAGGCUGGAGUACAGUGGUGCAAUCAUGGCUCAGUGCAGCCUCAACCUCCCAGGCUCAAGCGAUCCUCCCGCCUCAGCUCCCAAAGUAGCUGGGACUACAGGCGUGUGCCACCAUACCUGGCUAAUUUUUGGUGUUUUUUUGGUAGUGAUGAGCUCUCACUACCAAGCUCUCACUACUCUCAUGUUGCCCAGGCUGCUCUGCAACUCCAGGGCUCAAGCGAUCUGCCCCGCCUCAGCCUCCCAGAGUGCUGGGAUUACAGGCAUGAGCCACCAGGCCUGGCUGUUAACCUAAUCUUUUUAUAAUAAUGUUACUAUUACUCUCUUAAUCUGUCAGCAAUACUGUCACUAAUCCAUUAUAUGAUGCAAAUAUUAGUAUCAACCUACUAUAGGAACUUCAUCUUUCGACAAUGAUUUUUUUUUUCUUUUGAGACGGAGUCUUGCUCUGUCACCCAGGCUGGAGUGCAGUGGCGCGAUCUUGGCUAACUGCAGACUCUGCCUCCUGGGUUCAAGCGAUUCUCCUGCCUCAGCCUUCCGAGUAGCUGGGACUACAGACGAAGGGGAGGACCAGGCUGGCGAUGAAGAUGAAGAUGAUGAAUGGGAUGACUGAGUGGCUGAGUUACUUGCUGCCCUGUGCUCCUCCCCGCAGGACAUGGCUCCCCCUCCACCUGCUCUGUGCCCACCCUCCACUCUCCUCUUCCAGGCCCCCAACCCCCCAUUUCUUCCCCACCAACCCCUCCAAUGCUGUUAUCCCUGCCUGGUCCUCACACUCACCCAACAAUCCCAAGGCCCUUUUUAUACAAAAAUUCUCAGUUCUCUUCACUCAAG
rnacentral:lncRNA from 10 species